rnacentral:lncRNA from 1 species
GUGAUAAUAAAGAUAUCAACACUGACUAUUUUACACAUGUUUAUCUGUUUUCUUGCAGAUCUUGUUAAAGCAGUAUUUUUAAUUCUGAAUACAUGUCAAAGAUAGGUGAAGAAUAAGAUCUUGUCUUCUUUGUCACUGAAAAAGAAUUAAGAAAAACCCUUUGGCUGCCCCUUAAUCUACUGCUAUUUCAGCCAGCAAUUGCAACUUUGCAGUUACCAGGCUGCUUCUCUGCCAGCAGCCUGACUACUCAGGCUGCACCCUGGAGGGAAUUCUGUUCCUGAGAUAGAGACCUUGAAAAUCUUUCCAAUAUUGCUGUUGUGGGAAUAUAAAGAUAAGAAAGAAGUUUGUGAUUUGACAUUUAC